rnacentral:rRNA from 1 species
GACGAAGGUGGCGAGCGUUGUUCGGAAUCACUGGGCAUAAAGCGCACGUAGGCGGUGUCAUAAGUCGGAUGUGAAAUCCCUCGGCCUAACCGAGGAACUGCGUCCGAUACUGUGAUGCUUGAGGACCAGAGGGGUGCAUGGAAUUUCCGGUGGAGCGGUGAAAUGCGUUGAUAUCGGAAGGAACUCCGGCGGCGAAAGCGAUGCACUGGCUGGUUUCUGACGCUGAGGUGCGAAAGCCAGGGGAGCAAACGGG